rnacentral:rRNA from 1 species
UACAGAGGUCCCAAGCGUUGUUCGGAUUCAUUGGGCGUAAAGGGUGCGUAGGCGGCGCGGUAAGUCGGACGUGAAAUCCCUCGGCUUAACCGGGGAACUGCGUCCGAUACUGGAUGGCUUGAGUUUGGGAGAGGGAUGCGGAAUUCCAGGUGUAGCGGUGAAAUGCGUAGAUAUCAUGAGGAAUACCAGAGGCGAAGGCGGCUACCUGGACAAUUGCUGACGCUCAGGCACGAAAGCGUGGGGAGCAAAAGGG